GAAUAUUGCACAAUGGGCGCAAGCCUGAUGCAGCAACGCCGCGUGAGGGACGACGGCCUUCGGGUUGUAAACCUCUUUUAGCAGGGAAGAAGCGAAAGUGACGGUACCUGCAGAAAAAGCACCGGCUAACUACGUGCCAGCAGCCGCGGUAAUACGUAGGGUGCAAGCGUUGUGCGGAAUUAUUGGGCGUAAAGAGCUCGUAGGCGGUUUGUCGCGUCUGCUGUGAAGACGCGAGGCUCAACCUCGCGCCUGUAGUGGGUACGGGCAAACUAGAGUGCGGUAGGGGAGAUUGGAAUUCCUGGUGUAGCGGUGGAAUGCGCAGAUAUCAGGAGGAACACCGAUGGCGAAGGCAGAUCUCUGGGCCGUAACUGACGCUGAGGAGCGAAAGCAUGGGGAGCGAACAGG
rnacentral:rRNA from 1 species